GGGAACAUGAGAGCCAGACCAAAGCUCAGAGGAACCAGCCUGGACCUCCACCCAGCUCUGUGUCCUGUAAGAGUGACUGGUCUAAAGAGAGAGGUCAGAGGUCACAGUCUGCAGGAUCCAGCUGUCCGUCU